rnacentral:rRNA from 1 species
ACGGAGGAUCCGAGCGUUAUCCGGAUUUAUUGGGUUUAAAGGGAGCGUAGGUUGACGUAUAAGUCAGCCUGUGAAAGUUUGCGGCUCAACCGUAAAAUUGCAGUUGAUACUGUUUUUCUUGAGUGUACAUAAGGUAGGCGGAAUUCGUGGUGUAGCGGUGAAAUGCUUAGAUAUCACGAAGAACUCCGAUUGCGAAGGCAGCUUACUAAGCUACAACUGACACUGAGGCUCGAAAGUGUGGGUAUCAAAC